GUUUUUGUAGUUGAAGACAACACUGGUUUUUCAAGCCAGAGGUCUUGGUUAAAACCCAGGUAGAAACU
rnacentral:tRNA from 1 species